rnacentral:lncRNA from 1 species
GGAUUGGAGGACUCAGGGCAGCACGGCAGAGGAACUGGCUCAGCACAAGCAUGUUCAAUUCAGGCCAAUGAGACUGGGGCAACUGUUCUUUGUUCCUCAGUCUGGAACUGCUACCAGAGUGGAGACUGAGCUCCUGGAUCGGGUACAUCCUGAAGUCUGCUGCCUUUGGAUUGGCAUUAUGAGAGCUAAUAAAUCCCCCUUUGAAACCCCCAGAGCUCAGAGGGGCUUUCUAGGCCAGGCAUCAUCAAUGUAUUCCGUCAAUAUCAAAUUAAAUGGGUUUGGAUCACACAACACGGGAUAUGAGCAAUGUUUAUUUCUUUGUUUUUGAGAUGGAGUUUGACUCUUGUCACCAGGCUGGAGUGGUGCGAUCUCAGCUCACUGCAACCUCCGUCUCCUGGGUUCAAGCGAUUCCAUUCUCUUGCCUCAGCUUCCCGAGUAACUGGGAUUAUAGGCGCCGGCCACUACGCCCAGCUAAUUUUUGUAUUUUUAGUAGCGACGGGGUUUCACCAUGUUGGCCAGGCUGGUCUUAAACUCCUGACCUCAGGUGAUCCACCUGCCUCAGCCUCCCAAAGUGCUGGGAUUACAGGUUUGAGCCCCCUUGCCUGGCCAAUGUUUAUUUCUUUAAAUGAAAUUUAAUCUGCUCCCAGCUGCAAUUCUACAGAGAUGUGGAAAUUCUUCUCCUUACCUACCUGGGUGGUAAAAUCCUGGGGUUCUCACAAACUCAGAAUAUUGGAGUAGGGCUCUUGUCCUUUAGCCUGUUCUUGUCACUGCUGAGAUGCCUGCCUUCCUGGUCUGAGUGUACCCUGGGACUCAGCCUCCUCAUCUGAGGCACCAUCUCCUCUGCAGGCCCAAGGAGGAUAUUGGGAGUCGGGGAAGGAAAUAUAUCUCCCCUGGACAUCUAUCUUAUCUGUCAGUUUCCACUCCCCAACCCCUUACUGCUCUGCUCACCACCCCAUGGACUUGACGCUUUUCUCUCUUUCCUGGGAAGAAGGUGGCUUAAUGUACUUUGUUCUUGAGGCUGUCACCAGCAGGCGUUCACUCAGCAAGCCUGUCCUCAAGAUGGAGCCUUCUGUAGCCCACGGAGUCCCGGGACACUGCAGAACCAAUCCAUCUUGGUCCCUGCCCUGGGUGAAGUCCUGCCUCCAUUGGCCCUGAUCUUGUUGGAUCUGGGCUGCUUCUGAUGCUAGAGAAAGGGGAGGAGGGGGUGCUCCCAGGCGCAGCUCUGGGUUUUGGCCCUCUAGGCCGGUCACAUCGCCUCUUUGAGCACCUGUGGCUUCAUCAGCA